GGAAGUCAAGAUGUAACACCAUGGGGUAGGAAGCCCGGAAAGUUCUCCGGUUCACAUUCCAGACUUCCAGAGGCAGAACAUCGGAAUCUAAGAUGGAUGACCCAUCCCUUUGUCCUGGGAAGAGACCUCCCUUCUAUCUUACCAGCAUUGAACAAUUAGAGUCCUUAGCUGGAAGUUUGAUAUUUAAAGGGAGAUGGAGGUCAGUCUGGAACAGUUGCGAAGGGCUCAUCAUGUAGUGUGUCACCAUGUAGAUCAAGG